rnacentral:rRNA from 1 species
CCUACGGGUGGCUGCAGUGGGGAAUAUUGGACAAUGGGGGCAACCCUGAUCCAGCCAUGCCGCGUGUGUGAAGAAGGCCCUCGGGUUGUAAAGCACUUUCAGUGAGGAAGAACGCCUGGUGGUUAAUACCCAUCAGGAAAGACAUCACUCACAGAAGAAGCACCGGCUAACUCCGUGCCAGCAGCCGCGGUAAUACGGAGGGUGCGAGCGUUAAUCGGAAUUACUGGGCGUAAAGCGCGCGUAGGUGGCUUGAUAAGCCGGUUGUGAAAGCCCCGGGCUCAACCUGGGAACGGCAUCCGGAACUGUCAAGCUAGAGUGCAGGAGAGGAAGGUAGAAUUCCCGGUGUAGCGGUGAAAUGCGUAGAGAUCGGGAGGAAUACCAGUGGCGAAGGAGGCCUUCUGGACUGACACUGACACUGAGGUGCGAAAGCGUGGGUAGCAAACAGGAUUAGAUACCCGAGUAGUC